GUGGACAGCCCAGUGAAGAUGAUUCCGUCGAAUAUGUGCUACAUGCGCAAGCUUUGACAGAUUUUUCUCUUUGCGCGCAGUAGUUGGCAGACAGCACCAGC
rnacentral:lncRNA from 1 species